UGGUAGCCCGAAAACUCCGAUCAUAAUUCACUGACCAAAUAAAAUCCAAUACAUUGUUUUGAUGAUCUAAACGCUUUCACGAUGUACUUCCUGCGUAGUACAGUCAACUACCUCCUCGGAAUCAAAGAUGAAGAAGAUGAUUUCCCGACAAGUUCCAAUUCAAACAAUCAACAGACUGAGCAAAAAGAUGUGAAAAUCAUCGAAAAGAACACCGAUGAUGGUGUCCUUGUGACAGCUGUAACUACAAAACGCAAGAGAAAAAAUUGGAAUAGCGCAAGUGGCAAGCAUAAGGCUCAUAAAGCAGCAGCCAUGAGCCAACCUGCACCGAAGUUAACUACUAGCUCAAAUCUAACGCUCCUGAAUGCAGUAACAGAGUCACAAAGGUCGGAAAAACUAAAGAAGGGCCGAGAAAGAUCCAAGAGAAGCCUCCAGAGACAGAACAAACUCCACAAAGCGCAACAAGAAAAGACCAUUCGGCAAAAUUUCAAGGCUGUGCAGUGAGUCUAUCGAUAUGUGAUGUGAUGCAAUGACCUGAAAUGAUUCUCAUGAAAGAGGAAGAAUAUCUACUUUGUUUUAAUAGAACUUGGUAAUACACUAUUAGGAUCAUUAGAUUUUGGCACUUUCACUGACCACA